rnacentral:rRNA from 1 species
GUGUCAGCCGCCGCGGUAAUACGUAGGGUCCGAGCGUUAUCCGGAAUUACUGGGCGUAAAGAGUUCGUAGGCGGAUUUUUAAGUCGGAUGUUAAAUAUACAGGCUCAACUUGUAUGCUGCAUCCGAUACUGGGAGUCUUGAGAGUGGAAGAGGUAAGCGGAAUUUCCGGUGGAGCGGUUAAAUGCGUAGAUAUCGGAAAGAACACCAAUGGCGAAGGCAGCUUACUGGGCCAUUUCUGACGCUGAGGAACGAAAGCGUGGGGAGCGAUCGGGAUUAGAAACCCGCGUAGUCC